GACGAACCGUGCGAACGUUAUUCGGAAUCACUGGGCUUAAAGGGCGCGUAGGCGGGUUGCCAAGUCUGUGGUGAAAUCCUCCAGCUUAACUGGAGAACGGCCGUGGAUACUGGCGACCUCGAGGGGGGUAGGGGCUUGCGGAACUGUGCGUGGAGCGGUGAAAUGCGUUGAUAUGCACAGGAACUCCGGUGGCGAAGGCGGCGAGCUGGACCUCUUCUGACGCUGAGGCGCGAAAGCCAGGGGAGCAAACGGG
rnacentral:rRNA from 1 species